GGCAGGGCCUGUGACAGGAGGGACAGUUCCCAUUGGUUCCCAGAGGGGACAUGUCACUGAGAAGUCAGUUAUCAUUGGCUCCCAGAGGUGGCACAUCACUGAAAAGACACCUCCCAAUGUUCCCCACAGGUGGCAAAUGAUUGAGAAGAUAGUUCCCAUUGGCUCCCAGGUGGCAAGUGACUGAGAAGUUAGCUCCCAUUGGCUCCCAGUGGCUCCCAGAGGUGGCAUGUGACUGAAAAGUCAUCUCCAGAUGGGCCCCAGACAAGGCAUGUGGCUGAGAAGACAGCUCUCAUUGGUUCCCAGGUGGCACAUGACUGAAAAGUAAACUCCCAUUGGUUUCCAGAUGUGGUCAUGACUGAGAAGUCAGCUCCUAUUCACUCCCGGGUGGCUCAUGACUGAGAAGUCAGCUCCCAUUGGUUUCUGGAGGUGGCUCGUGACUGAGAGGUGUCCUGAGAGGGGCCACCCCACCUCUGUCCCUCCACCAGAGUGGGCCAUUUUCCCCAUGAUCUCUAGGAAACCACCAGGACUGUCCUUUCCAGGCUCUGUCCCUCUGCAGGUGGAGGGGAGCCUCACCCUGUGGGCUUAAAGGUGGUGCCGAUUCUUUGCUACGUCCCAUUGAGCAGUGAAAUCCACGUCCCUCCCCUUGGGCAUGCAGAGUGAGGUCCGGAGCUCCCAGGCAGGAUCAUUAGAGGCCUGGAGGCUGCAGUCGUGGGGAGAGAGCAAGGUCUGGGGACGCCAGGGCUCGGAUGUGGAACUGAGGUGGCCCAGCUGGCCCCAUCCACCAGGGACAGCCCCCCAGCCAAGCCCCGCGCGAAUGUCUGACCAACAAAAUCAUGAGCAAAAUCACACGUCUGCUGUGAGUCGCUGCGUGUCAGCGUGCUUCGUUGUGCAGCAGAAGUUCUCCAGAACCGGAGCCCAGACUCCAAGCGUGCACGGGGGAUUAAAGAAUUAAAGCGAAAUCCCUGAAGAUAAAGAUGGUAAACAACACAUCCUGGGUCACCCCUCCUUCUAUUCUUUUUUUCCCCCAGUAAAUGUCAUGCUUCAAGGGAGUAUAACUAAGGAAAGCUCAAAGUAAUAAUAUCAGAAAUCUGCUUCCUUUUAUUUCUUCUGACAUUUUAUUGUGAUAUGUAAUUGGAAGAAGACGAAACCUCUGAUGGGUAUAUUUAGUUCGUUGUGUUGGUGAGUGUUUCAAAGGUGGGUCCUCUGCGGCUCUCAUUAGCAUCAAGUAUGCAAAUCUUCAAGUUGCUCCUUAAUGAGCACAGUCACGCUAUAGGCAUGUGACAUAUCCGUAUCUAGGACUGGGCAUCUCGUGAAUGGGUCUCAUGUCAUAAACCUGGAACUUAGCCCCAACAGAAACACAUGCCUAGCUAUGGCGGCUGCUCAGCCAGCACAGCCCCACUUCUGUUCACUCCCAACGGGGGCUCAUGACUGAGAAGUCAGCCCCCAUUGGUUGACUUCAGCAAAUGUGAGCCCUCAGCAAGUGUGAGCCAUUUUCUUCCAGGUCUGUAGGACCCAAGGGACCCCGACUUCUUCGUCACAUGCUACCACUUCUGGGAGCGUCUGACAGGCUUUAUCCUAGAGAAGCCUUGUCCAAGGGAACACCAAGCUACGAAUGAGUUCCUGGCUGUCAUUUUCAACCCAGGCAAAGAUAAUCUCAUGUCCUUGCAUGUCUCAGCAGGCGGCCCUUGUUCCUCCAAGCAUGGCUCAGUCUCUCACUGGGGAACCAGGGCACGCUUGCUCCUGACUGGCUGGUGGGAUGCGCUGCAGGCCCUCUGGUCUCUGGCUCUCUGCUUGUCUUUGUUAUUUUGGCUUUGUUGUCAUUUUUAAUGGUAAGUGUCUCUGAGCACUAUCUCUCCAAGAUCACACUGAGCUUGCCAUGUCCUCUGGUAAGGGAGAAGGUGAUUGUGGUCUGAUGUUCUGGAUUCAUCCAAUCAGUGUCCCCCAACCUACCCGCCUACUAACCUAAGCCAUCUGAGCCAAAUCAGCCUCCAUUAGCCACAUCCACUGGCAGUGCUACCCACGCAGCAUGUGUCAGGUUAUUUGUCUAACUGAGACCUAUCAGGCAUCCCCAGUGUGGCACACAAGCUCUACACUGGAAGUUCACUGGUAAAAGGAGAGAUGAGGUUGUCCUCCCAUGUGGCUUAACUCCUAGGGUGCCAGACAGCCAAUAAACAAGUAAAUCAAUUCAUAAGCAAGAUAAAUGCAGAUAGUGAAGACUGCUGUGAAGAAAAUAAAAUGGCAAAGCUAAUGUGGGAAGCCCAGGGUGUGGGGAAAGACUAUUUGGUGGGGAAGUCAGGGAGGGCUUCACCAAGAGGUGACUCUAAGUCCUGCGUGACAGAAAGAAGGCAGCCAUUCAGCGGUGUGAGGACCCAGACAUCCAGGCAGAGGGCAUGGCCAGUGCCAAGGUCACGAGGUAAGAAUGAACUUGGAGCAUUUGAGAAACAGCAGGGUCCACGUGUCUGAGCAAGUGGGGGAGCCGAGGGAUUGCCUUCCACUAUUUGAGGUUCAGCUCAAAAUCCUCCUUAGAUUGCCUUUUCCUGACGUCUCCUGCUAAGAGGUUCUGCCUGCCCUGACCCUGACCCCAGUGACCCUCCAACAUUUUACCUUUUCUAUUUGCUUGGCAACUUUUAUCAAUUUCCAGGCCACCUUAACUAUGUGUUUAUCAGUUCACUCUCUGUUUCUCCUGCUGGAGUAUAUGCUUUGUAGGGAAAGUCAUCUCUGCCUUUUUCGCAGCCAUAUCCCCAGUGCCUCUUACAGUUCAGGGUACCUGGAGUGUACUCAAGAAAUAAUUGUUGAAUGAACAAUUCACCACACCUAUCGUGAGCUAUUCACAAAGCAGUGGUACUGGCAUCACCAGCGUGGAUCUGUCACAUCUGGAGAGAAUUUAAGUCUAUUUACAUUUAUCUUUGGGCCUGGAGGACAUUGUAUACACUCACACACACACACACACACACACAGAUACAAAUAACAGUUACGACAAGCACAAUCAUACUUGCCUGUGAGCUCUUUAUGUGCCAGAUUUGUCUGAGAAGUUAAUCAACUCAUGUAUAAAGAUGUUAAUGUCAACAAGAAAAAAACAAAUAAUCCCAUAAAAAAAGUGGGAUUAUUAAAAGAAGGCAUACAAACAAACAGCCAACAAACAUGAAAAAAUGCUCAACAUCACUAAUUAUCCAAGGAAAUCCAAAUUAAAACUGGAAUGAGAUACCACCUUACUCCUGCAAGAAUGGCCAUAAUUUAAAAAUCAAAAAAAAAAAAAAUAGACGUUGGCAUGGAUGUGGUGAAAAGGAACACUUUUACACUGCUGGUGGGGUUGUAAAUUAGUACAACCACUAUGGAAGCCAGUAUGGAGAUUUCUUAAAGAAGCGAAAGUAGAAUUAUCAUUCAGUCCAGCAGUUUCACUACGGGGUAUCUACCCAAAUGAAAAAAGUCAUUGUAUGAGAAAGACAAUUGCACGCACGUGUUUAUAGCAGCACAAUUUUCUGUUGCAAAAAUAUGGAACCAGCCUAAAUGCCCAACAUCCAAUGGGUGGAGAAAGAAAAUGUGAUGUAUUUACACCAUGGAAUACUACUCAGCCAUGAAAGAGAAUGAAAUAGUGGCCUUUCAACUUGGAUGGACCUGAAGGCCAUUAUUCUAAGUGAAGUAAUUCAGGAAUGGAAAACCAAAUAUCAUAUGUUCUCACUUUUAAGUGGGAGCUAAGCUAUGAGGAUGCAAAGGCAUAAGAAUGAUAUAAUUGACUUUGGGGACUCAGUUGGAGGGGAACGUGGGAGGGGGAUGAGGGUUAAAGGCUACAUAUUUGGUACAGUGUACACUGCUUGGGUGACAGGUGCCCCAAAAUCUCAGAAAUCGCUACUAAAGAAGUUAACCAUGCAACCAAACACCACUUGUACCCCAAAACUAUGGAAAUAAAAUGGUUUUUUUAAAGAUAC
rnacentral:lncRNA from 1 species